GCCCGGGUGGUGAAAUCGGUAGACACAGGGGACUUAAAAUCCCCCGGUAGCAAUACUGUGCCGGUUCAAGUCCGGCCUCGGGCA
rnacentral:tRNA from 1 species